ACAUAGAUUGUUUAAUCAGUGUUACACAACAUCACCUACAGGCGACUUGACCCUGAAACGAUCCUAAUCUACCCAGCUCACACACAGCAACAGCUGCGAUCACUCUUUGUUCACUCACCAGUGAAUCCCACAAAGAACAAAUUCGUUCACAAAGAUACACACUUUUUCUCUUCUAAAAGUGCUAACCCUAAUAAGCAAGAACACCUUCUCCUUAUAUAGAGUCUUCAGAUUCCAAGCUAUCCUCUUUAUCCAGGGGACACUUGGAAGCUUUAAGUCACACUCAAGUCACAACACAACUUGUUUGACUUUUGGGACACCUUUUUCUUCUAACAGUUUCGCCUGCUUGUCCAACCUCAGCAUGCUCACUGUUACCAACUCCAAUGUGCCACGUCACCACGAACCCAUUAGCUUUUCUCGCCUCCUCUUUACUCCUUCAGACACACCUCUGUUCGUCCUUCAGAGACUCUGUUUCAUCAAUCUCCCCCUUUUUAUCUGAGUGUGAUACUCAAGCAACCUGCAAAAUGUUAGUUCAAAAAACAAAUGCAGCCAUACAAAUUAUAUACCAGAUCAACCAGAGAAAUGAAAACAGAGAGAGCAAAUCAAAUUCAUAACUGCGAAAGCAAUCUUCAAGGGUUCCAGAAAAAUAACCAAAAGAUAACCGACAAUUAGAGUUUAAGAGUCAUAGAAAGUACAGACCAAAAACCAUCUAAGCAAGUCCUACUCUACUCUUAACUCCCCCUAUCUAAAAAAACAUCAUACUACUUAGCCACUUUCAACUUCAUCCUCAUCCUCCUCUCCUUCUUCUCCUUGUGUACCUUCAUCAGAGUUAUGAGAGACAACAGGAACCACAUCCGCAUAAUCUCCCCCUGCUUGAGUGCACACUCAUAUAAAAACCAGAAGCAGAAAUAGAGGAUGAAGGACAGAACCAGAGAACACUUACCUGUAAGACGUUGCAGAACAGUCUUGAUGGUUGCCAUGAGGAGUGCCAAAUCAGCAGUGAGAGUCGCUGGACCAGUGGGGACAAACGGUUCUUUGAUCUCAAAGGUAAAACGUUGUGGAGCUGCAGAUGUCACAUCAGUAUCCAGGACAAUGCGUUGAAACCGGAGCAGCUGAUCAAUCAGGUUUGGGAAGAUCAAACGCCAGGUGGAUAAAGGACUUGCGACUUGUUGAGAGCAAUUACAGACUUCAUCAUAGACCAAAUUCCCAAAGUUAAUUUCAUGUUUCUUCACCACCAUGUAGAGGAGAGUAGAGCGACCCGGUUUCAAUGUAUGAGAGUUGACAGUUGGCAUCCAGUUCUGAUAACAGAUCUUCUGAAGUUGAGACAUGGUAUCUCCCAUAAGGCGUUUGGUCAGAUUGACCCAAGCAGUGACACGGCCUGAGGAUAGGACAGCAGCUACAUCAUCCAGAUCAGCAGCAAUGUCCGUGACAUGGACAUUCACCGGGAAGAUGGGGUUGGACAGUUGGAACAUCUGAUUGAUGAUGGUAGGAGAGAACUCAUACAUUAACCCACGAACAAACACCAUGAGUUCUCCAGUCUCACACACUUCAGCAUCAGGAAGAUUUGCGUAGAACUCCAUGACAACCUGUUCAACAAAGGUGUCAAUCUCUGUAACAGUAGGAAGGAGACCAGCAUCGGAGGUGAUUUUGUAAGCCGCCUGAGUAGACACACAAUCCGGAGCAAGGAAACUCAUCUCAUUGAAGCGACGCUUGAAGAUUCCCUGGUAGCGGUCACGAGCAGCUUCUGUGAUAAACAGAGUAUUAAUAGAAGGAACAGAGGGAAACUUCAACUCCGGGUACUUCCGUUCACGGAUAGCAAUGAGUUUCCGGUUAGCCUGGUAUCUUUCAAGGAAGGCCGGUGGAGGAAUCUCAGCAACAUCUUCAUCAUUUGCAUCCCUAGUGAUAUCUUCAAUAUCAUCAGAUGCACGAGCAGCAGCAGCACGACGCGAAGGACGACGAGUGAUUGGAACAGGACGAUUCGAUUUAGGUCGGGAAGAUGAAGCAACACCACAAUGCUUCUUCUUCGGAGGCUGCACAAAAUUCUUUGCCCUAACCUUUCUUGCUUUAGUAGCAUCCGGUUCAGAUUUUGGAAUAAGAACCGGAAUCAGAGAGGUUGGAUUCGGAAGCAACGAUGAUGGAGCUGACACAGACAGAGCAGCAGUGGAAGUCGGAAUAGCAUCAGUUCUGUUAGCAGAGAUCGCAGAAUCAGUAGCCAUGUUGAAUCAGAGAGGAAGAGGGCAUAUUUUGCUUUGAGGUUGAGACAGAGAGUUUCAGAUCUGCGAGAGGCUUUAGGGUUUUGAGUGAGAAGGAGCAACUGAACAGUCCAAGAGAAUAAGUAGAGAGAGAAGCGGCAAAGUUCCCUCCAAUUACUGUAACAUUGCAGAUCUCGAGAUGUCUGCACACUAAAGCACUCAUUAAACGCAAAUUGACUCUCACACGUUAACACAAAACGAGAAGGCCAACCCAGAUAAAUAGACCCAACCAGAUAAAGCCCAAUAGACCCAAUCCGAUAUUUUAAGCCGGCCCACAACAUUUCACAGACCAAAUCAACAUUCUUUUCAAACACAAGGCAUUUCCGAAAUUUAAACAACCAUUUCACAGACAACCACAUUCACACAUGAACCAAGUUUCAACAGACAGAGACAAAAUCCUUGUCCUCCUCAGAUAAUCUUAGUACAUAAGAGAUAUAUAUCUAUGUAUAUAUCUAUAUGCAUAUACGCAUUUUUUUCUGAGGUGAAUCAAUGAUACAAAAGAACACAAAGGAAGUGAGAGCACACCUGGGGUUUGAGUCAGACCUACUGCAACAGAUUCCCAUAUACAGAGGUACACAACUUCUGUACUUGUAGUUGUAAAAAGUAUCAGCCUUCUUAGCCCACAGAGAUGACCAACAUACACCAUGAUCACUUCAGACUAGACUACACCCCUCAUAUCCUUCCAGAUUUGAUCCUCAUGGUGUGUGUGUGCUUCAACGGCGAGGGGGUUGAUGGAUUUGUUGUAAUGAAGAAGGAGAAAUGAGGUACAAAAGUUUGAUUGCAUUGUACCUCUUGAAGAUAUGAAAGAACAUCAAUCCUUUUCCUGCCCAACCUUUCAUUUGGUUGCCUUUCCUUUUUUAUUUUUUUCUCUUUUUUUUUGUUUCCCUUAUUUUGUUUUGUUUUUUUUUUUUUUUUUCUUUUAACAGACUUGCAACACACACCCUUUUUGGACAUCUUCGAGGAAGAGCAUGAGAAGCAGCUGUUUUCCUGAAGCAACUUGCCAAGAAGGAGGUUUUCAUAGUCUUUAUUAAAAACAAAAAGCUGAUGCAACUCUGUACAGAGGAACCUGUUGCACUAGCUUAAGACACAAAAUGCAUUAGUGUUCACACAGGCCAAUGGAUUUUUGCAAAUUCAUAUAACUGUUUAAAUCCAAAGGUUUAGUAAAUAUAUCAGCAAAUUGCUUUUCAGAGGGGACAUGAACUAUCUCAAUAGUCUUGUUUUCAACAAGUUUACGAACGAAAUGGUGUCUGAUAUCAAUGUGUUUAGUGCGAGUGUGCUGAACAGAAUUUUUUGAAAUGUCUAUAGCACUAGUGUUAUCACAAUAUACUAACAUGGUAGAAGGAAUGAUACCGUAGUCAGACAACAUUUGUUUCAUCUAGAGCAGUUGAGUACAACAACUACCAAGAGCUACAUACUCAGCUUCAGCAGUUGAGAGUGUGACAGAGCUUUGCUUCUUUGAAUACCAGGAUAUCAUGUUGUUUCCAAGAAAGAAACAACCACCAGAUGUGCUUCUACGAUCAUCCAGAUUACCUGACCAAUCAGCAUCACAAAAACCUUCCAGAUUUUGAUUAGUCUGUUUAGAGUAGAACAAACCUCUGUCAGUGGUACCUUUUACAUGCAUACUUGAUGAUGCGUUUGACUGCAUUCAAAUGUGACAGACGCGGAUUAGCUUGAUAUCUGGCACACAUGCCAACACUGAGGCACAAGUCAGGUCAGCUGGCAGUAAGGUACAGAAGACUUCCGAUCAUUGCUCUAUACAGCUUUUCAUCCACACGCUGACCAUAUUCAUCUUUGGACAACUUCACAGUGGUGCUCAUGGGAGUUCUAGAGGUCUUGCUUGUCUGCAUUCCAAACCUCUGUACAAUACUCUUAGCAUAGGUACCUUGAGAUAUGUGGACCCCUUCUUCAGUCUGUUUGAUUUGUAGCCCCAAAAAGUAGUUCAUCUCUCCAACCAUACUCAUCUCAAAUUCUUUGGUCGUAGAUUUGAUGAUGAAGCGGAAGCUCCUAGGGAUAAAACUAGAUCCAUUGAUUCUGAGAAUAUCCGGAAACUAGGGUUUGAGAGUCCUCCUCUCAGGGCUUUCGCAAAAGCUCUUAGGGUUGUGAAUACUCUUUACAGUGGUUUAUAAAAACUUUUUUAAAUCUUUCGAUUAAUCAAUUUAAUAACAACUGAAUACAAUAGGAGGCCUUAGAAGGCUAUUUAUAAUAAAGCAUAAAACCCUAAAACAUAGAAUAUUCUAGAACAAUAAUUAUUAAUUAAUUAAAAUAUGAUAAUAAUAGAUAUUUGGAAUAUUUCCAAAUAUCUCGCUGCAUCAGGUCUCGCCGGCCAAGAAAAGAUUUGUCCUCGAAUCUUGUUUCUGCGCUGCAUCAGCUCCCUCCGGCCAAGAAAGAUUCGCCCUCAAAUAUUCAAUAGGGUUUUCAGCAUAGGAGAUCUUCGAAGAUUCAUCUUUAUCUCCAUCUUUUGAUUCUGCCCGAUUAUUGCACGAAAUGGAUCUGAUCCGAAAUUUGCACGAAUCUGAUUUGACCCAGAAUUUGCACGAAUCAGAUUUGACCCGAAAAUUACACAGAUCUUAUCUUCCAUGAUUUCUGUAGGAAACCCGAAUUUUGCACAAGUCUGAUUUUGCACGAAUUUUUACGAGUCAGAUUCUCGAACACAUCUUCUGGAAAAACGAAAUCAAUAACUAUAACAUCAUCUUCAUAGAUGUCAUAGAUGAGAUCACCAUAGAUCUCUCUGUAGAUCUCAUGGUUUUCUUCUUCUUCAGAAAACAGACUUUCGCCUGUGAUAGGGUAGACGUUUCCGGUCAACAUGACAUCUAGAAUCGAGCCUUGACUUAGAAAUCAAAGCACUGUCUCUGAUACCAAAUGAUGAAGCGGAAGCUUCUAGGGAUAGAACUAGAUUCGUUGAUUCUGAGAAUACCCGGAAACUAGGGUUUGAGAGUCCUCCUCUCAGGACUUUCGCAAAAGCUCUUAGGGUUUGUGAAUACUCUUCACAGUGGUUUAUAAAACCCUCUUUAAAUCUUUCGAUUAAUCUAUUCAAUAACAUCUAAAUACAAUAGGAGGCCUAGAAGGCUAUUUAUAAUAAAAACAUAAAACCCUAAAAUCUAUAGAAUAUUCUAGAAUAAUUAUAAUCAAUAAAUUAAAAGGUAAUGGAAAUAGAUAUUUGGAAAUAUUCCAAAUAUCUCGCUGCAUCAUUUGACAAACAAAGUAACCAAAUCUUCUUUAGUGCUUCCAAACACAAUGUCAUCAACAUAGAUUUGGACAAUGAGUAUGUCUUCCUUUCCUUGAUACACAAACAGGGUCUUGUCUACACUUCCUCGUUUGAAACCUUUUUCAACCAAGAACACUGAGUGUCGUUCAUACCAAGCACGAGGAGCCUGUUUCAGUCUGUAGAGAGCCUUUUUGAGUUUGUACACAUGAUUAGGAAAGUUUGGAUCUUCAAAUCCCUUUGGUUGAGCCACAUAAACUUCUUCUUGGAUUAUACCAUUCAGGAAGGCACUUUUAACAUCCAUUUGAUGUAGUUUAAUGUUUAACAGACAUGCCAUUCCAAGAAGAAGCCUGAUAGACUCCAGACGUGCAACAAGAGCAAAUGUUUCAUCGAAAUCAAUUCCUUCAACCUGAGAGUAACCCUGAGCAACCAGUCUUGCGCGAUUUCUUGUUACAUUUCCACCUUCAUCGAUCUUGUUCUUGAAGAUCUACUUUGUUCCAACAAUGUUCACCUGCGGUGGCUUUGGAACAAGAUCCCACACGUUAUGACGACCAAAUUGAUUAGUCUCUUCAUGACACACUCCAAACCAAAAUUCAUCUUCUAGUGCAGUGAAGAUAUCUUUAGGUUCAAUGGUUUACACAAAACUUGAAAACUGAAUCAUUUCCCUGAAGUUAAUCUGAACACCUCUAGUAGUUCUUUCAUCUUCAAGAUUUCCAAUAACAUCAGCUUCUGAGUGACUUUUUGGAACAGUGAGGGUAGUGGUUCUAAUUCCAGUUUCUUGUUCUUGUAUCACUACUUCUUCUUGAUUCUCUUGAUCCAACUUUGGUUGUUCAGCCUUAUCUUUUUGAGCAGAUUCUUCUUCAUCUUGAGUAACAAGAAACAUCUGAGUUGGACUCUUAUCAUCAAAGACAACAUUUAUAGAUUCUUCAACCCUCUUCAACCGUUUGUUGUAGACUCUGUAAGCUAUACUGUUAGUAGCAUAACCCAGAAAGAUUCCUUCAUCACUCCUUGCAUCAAACUUCCCCAAGUGGUCUUUAUCAUUCAGGAUAUAAUAGAUACAUCCAAAGGUGUGAAAGUAGCACAAGUUGGGAGUUUUACCUUGCCAAGUCUCAUAACAUUGAAUUUCCUUUUUCUUACCUGAGUUAUCCUUUUCAGCUUUGAAGAAUCUUCCACCAGAUUUGUCACCUUCAUUACUGUUCCAACGAGCUCCAUCUCUAUUCUGACCUCAUUCUACUCUCUUCAGGGCUUUUCCAAAGUUUCUAGCAAGCAAGGCUAGACUGUCCUUGAUGUUUUGAAACUGAUCCACUUCUUGUUCAGCUUGGAAGGCAACGGAUUUUGACCCUUUGGUCUUGUCCUCAUUUACUUCCAUUUCUUCAGACUUCAAAAUACCAACAAGAUCAGCAAAUUUCAUUGUGUCAGUAUUACCUGCAACUCUCAUAACAGCUUUGUGAGCAGCAAACUUUGCAGGAAGAUACCUGAGAAGCUUCUUCACCAGCUUCUGUUCUUUGUACGUUUUUCCAAGAGUCUCAGCUUCAUUGGCUAUUGCACUUAUCUUCGAGCUAAACUUCACAAUGGUUUCAUCAGGUUCCAUCUUUAGAUAUUCAAACUGAGUUGCUAGCUGAUCUAGCCUUGUUCUUUUCACACAUGUAGUUCCUUCAUGAGACUGUUGAAGAAUAUCCCACGCUUGCUUCGCAGAUUUGCACCCUUAAAUGAGUUUGAACUCAUCUUCAUCAACAGAACCAAAAAUAGCAUUCAUGGCUCUAGCAUUGAAUUUUGACAGACUCUUUUCUUCAUCUGUCCAUCUGUCUUUUGGUUUUGGAAUCCUUAUCCCGGCUUCAGUCAAUAAGGAUGGAGAUUCCCACCCAUCUUCAACUGCAGUCCAAGCAUCUUCUCCUUGACCCCUGAUAAUUUGUUGCAUACGAACUUUCCAAUAACCAUAUCUCUUAGUAUCAAGCACAAUAUUCUUGCUUGUACCAACAAAAUCAGUAGUUGGUUCCAUCUUCAGGAUCUAACCUGUUUAGAGACACAAUCUCUCAAAUCGGUUUCCUGCUCUGAUACCAAUUGUAGAAACAGAAUACUAGCACAAAUACUAAACCAGAGACAAAUUACAAAAACUAAGCUUUAUUAGAAAUCUCUUCAAAUCAAUCUAACAUAGAUUGUUUGAUCAGUGUUACACAACAUCACCUACAAGAGACUUGACCCUGAAACGAUCCUAAUCUACCCAGCUCACACACAUCAACAGCUGCGAUCACUCUUUGUUCACUCACCAGUGAUUCCCACAAAGAACAAAUUCGUUCACAAAGAUACACACUUUUUCUCUUCUAAAAGUGCUAACUUUAAUAAGCAAGAACACCUUCUCCUUAUAUAGAGUCUUCAGAUUCCAAGCUCUCCUCUUUAUCCAGGGGACACUUGGAAGCUUCAAGUCACACUCAAGUCACAACACAACUUGUUUGACUUUUGGGACACCUCAGCAUGCUCACUGUUACCAACUCCAAUGUGCCACGUCACCACGAACCCAUUAGCUUUUCCCGCCUCCUCUGUACUCCUUCAGACACACC
rnacentral:lncRNA from 1 species